AAAUUUCUAGGCUUAACCUGGAAGUCGCAAAAGAAACUAUUUAUCUUGAGUAUGGUAGAGGUAAAGGGAAUUUCAAGUGGAGCNNUGAAAUGCGUAGAUAUUUGAAAGAACACCAACAGCGAAGGCACUUUACUGGGCCAGUACUGACACUCAGAGACGAAAGCUAGGNNAGCAAACAGGAUUAGAUACCCUGGUAGUCCUAGCUGUAAACNAUNGAUACUAGAUGUUGCNCAUUUUAUAUAAGCAGUGU
rnacentral:rRNA from 1 species